rnacentral:rRNA from 1 species
UACGUAGGGGGCAAGCGUUGUCCGGAUUUAUUGGGCGUAAAGAGCGUGUAGGCGGCCAGGUAGGUCCGUUGUGAAAACUGGAGGCUUAACCUCCAGCUGUCGAUGGAAACCAUCUGGCUAGAGUCCGGAAGAGGAGAGUGGAAUUCCUGGUGUAGCGGUGAAAUGCGCAGAUAUCAGGAAGAACACCCGUGGCGAAGGCGGCUCUCUGGGACGGUACUGACGCUGAGACGCGAAAGCGUGGGGAGCGAACAGG